AUUACUUUGGCAGAAUAGUGUUUUAAAUUUAGAAUUUAAUUAUGUAUAAAUAUUUUUAUACAAGUAAUA
rnacentral:tRNA from 1 species